CAGAGUUAUUAAUAGCAACAGUUGAUUCACAGGUUUUAAUAUUAUGCUUUUUAAUAAAGCUAAAAUGACCUAUCUGGUAGAUCUUAUAAAAGGGUUCAGCAGGGAUACUCCAGUUAUCCAAAUUAGACUCAGUUAAUGCAAUCUGAGUUGAACGAGAAGAAGUAUUAACAGAAUUUAAAACAUUUUGAUUCAUGUUUUUA
rnacentral:lncRNA from 1 species